CAAUUCUCUACUCUGCCUGAGGGUGGCGCAUACACCCCAGGAAAUGUUCUAAAUAAGAAAAUAAAAACACCUUUCCUCCGGUGAAGACGCUGCUAGAAAGCAUCAAGGACUGGUUGAAAGCUUUGAGAGAACAACUAUGGAAAACUUUUAAGCCGCGUUGACACUGCGAGCUCCUCAAGAUACCUCCGAUUGGUUUUAAGAGAGGGAUAGAUCAUCUGAAUCUGACCCUGGUGGUCAGUGGCGAGCCAACCGCAGAAGUCAGAGAACGGACCAAAAGCCUGGUGUGGCCAGCCGUGGCAUCUUUGGAACCAUCAUCAUCCCGUGCCUCCAUUUGAAAAAACAGAUAAGAACACACAUAAACCUACCCGGGUAGUGAAAAGAACAUACCGUACAUACUCCAAGAAAAACACACACACACACCAAGAACUUUCAUGGACUCUUUCUUUGUUUGAGUUUGUUUAUUUUGGGGUUUUUUAUUGUGCGCUUGAGCACUCAGGAAGCCGGCUUAGGUAGGCAGGGAAUGUAUGUAAUUGUCUUUAAUUUUGUAUAAUACAUUUCUCAAACUUACCUGUUUUGUGUUAUCUGUUCUCUGCUGACCUUUUAAUAUUUCAGGCUCCAUAGUCGUACCUAGAGUUUCUGAUAUUAGCCCAAAUCCAAUUUAUAGCUAAUUCAAUUAGUUAUCGGUUACACUAACCUGAGAGCAGGGUUACAAGUGGCGAGCCAGCCAGGAGUCUGGUUAUAUGUUAGCAGUGAACCACAUUACAAGUGUGUGAAACGAUUUAACGAGCGAACGUGUGUAAGCUCUUUGUUAUCUGUUUAUAGAUCACUCUUUACUAAAGAUGGAGUUUAUAACGAGCUCAGGAAUCAAAGUCCCCAAUGCAGUAAUGGUGAGUGGUUUGCUUGAAUCACCAGAAGAUGAGGAGAUCAUAGACUUCCUUAGGAAGUAUGGCUCCACGAGACUUGUCCCAGUUACUGAUACUAACUCAGAGUUUUAUAAAAACCUGAUUGUUGAGUAUCAAGAUGCUGUUGCUAUUGAAG